GAUGAACGCUGGCGGCGUGCCUAAUACAUGCAAGUCGAGCGAACAGACAAGGAGUUUGCUCCUUUGACGUUAGCGGCGGACGGGUGAGUAACACGUGGAUAACCUACCUAUAAGACUGGGAUAACUUCGGGAAACCGGAGCUAAUACCGGAUAAUAUAUUGAACCGCAGGGUUCAAUAGUGAAAGACGGUUUUGCUGUCACUUAUAGAUGGAUCCGCGCCGCAUUAGCUGGUUGGUAAGGUAACGGCUGACCAAGGCAACGAGGCGUAGCCGACGCGAGAGGGUGAUCGGCCACACUGGAACUGAGACACGGUCCCGACUCCUACGGGAGGCAGCAGUAGGGAAUCUUCCGCAAUGGGCGAAAGCCUGACGGAGCAACGCCGCGUGGGUGAUGAAGGUCUUCGGAUCGUAAAACUCUGUUAUUGGGGAAGAACAAAUGUGUAAGUAAAUAUACCCGUCUUGACGGUACCUAAUCAGAAAGCCCCGGCUAACUACGUG
rnacentral:rRNA from 1 species